rnacentral:rRNA from 1 species
UACAGAGGUCUCAAGCGUUGUUCGGAUUCAUUGGGCGUAAAGGGUGCGUAGGCGGCGCGGUAAGUCGGGUGUGAAAUCUCGGAGCUUAACUCCGAAACUGCAUUCGAUACUGCCGUGCUUGAGGACUGGAGAGGAGACUGGAAUUUACGGUGUAGCGGUGAAAUGCGUAGAUAUCGUAAGGAAGACCAGUGGCGAAGGCGGGGUCUCUGGACAGUUCCUGACGCUGAGGCACGAAGGUCAGGGGGAGCAAAACGGGG